CCCUUUUUUUUGGCUUGAGCACCUGCCCCCAAAAAUGUCUGUGCACGUGCCUGUCAGUUUAAUAUCUGAUACGUACUCUACCCGAGGAUCAUAUAUUAAAUGGAUUUUUAGGCCCGGGAGUCGGAAGAGGGGCUUGCUCCGUCCGCUUCACGCAUCGGCCGGGUAUUGCAUUACCUCCUGGCACGGUGCACCCUCA